GCCUGGGUGGCAGAGCGGUUAAGCGUCUGUCUUCGGCUCAGGGCGUGAUCCCGAUGUUGUGGGAUCGAGCCCCACAUCAGGCU
rfam:Ailuropoda melanoleuca scaffold634_33, whole genome shotgun sequence.